GGUCGCGCAUGUCAUCCCCAUCCUUUGUCAUUUUCUUUCGUGUUCAUGAUGGGAACAAUAUCCGAUGCAAAUCUUCUUGAUUCGAUCCGUUUGUUGCCCCUCACGCAAGACCGACUCCAUAUAAAUACCCCCUCCUCCUCCUCAUCCAAUUUUCGCAAAAAUUGGAAGGUUUCGAUCUUGUUCCACCCCGAUCCAAUCUCGCCGGAGUUCCCCGUCGCCUGAAGGAUGUUUCCGCUGCCACCGAAGACGCGUGGGGGAACAACUCCCCGGUGCCAUUCGAAUCUCGCCGGAGUUCGCCUCGCUCCAGCCGCUCGCCUUCGUCACCACCGCAAGAACUCGACACUGCAGACGCUACCAUCGCCAUCGCCGAGACGUGCUGGACCCCGUCGUGUUCCUCUCCAACCCCGAAGACCACAGACAUGAGCGCCACGACCACCACCCGAAGUGGCAGCACCAUUGACGGCCGAGUCGCUCAAGCUCUGAGCUCUGUCCCAUGGGCCCCUGCCCGACACCGUUGCGCAGCACCGCCCGACGCCACGCAGGAGACGCCGCCCCUCGCCCCGUGACCCGCCGCCCCACCCCACCUUCGCCUGCCUCGCCGGAGUCGCCGCCUGAGACGACGACCAUGCUUCUAUGCAGGUCCAGGUGAUUCCGCUCCAGGUGACGAGUACGAGCUCAAGUGGGAGUUCGA